CAGGUUCUCAUUUGCUCUCUCUCUCUCACACGCGCGCGCGCGCACACACACACUCACAAAAUCAAACACUACCAAACCUCACCUCGCCUCACCGCGAUCCGCUCAUCUCACCAUCGCUCACCGCCAUGCGACAUUGCACAUCGCCAUCGAGAUCUGAGUAAGAUUUGAGUCCUAGGUCGAGAUCUGACCGUCAUGAGCGAUCAACACAUAUCCGUCGUCGACAGUGAAGACAGACAGACCAUGUCUAACAGUUGAAUCAGAUUCGAUUUCGUGAGCUAAAAAUCUCUUGAGCACUCAGAUCUCUGUGAUUUUCUGCUCCAAUCAACACCUCUCUCUAUAUGAGGUGUUAAGGGUUUUAAGGGUGAACCCAUUACUUGUUACUGCACUGAUUGCAUUUACCUUGGUAUGCUUUGUUCAUCCAGCCCUGGGUAUGUUUAUAUUGCUAUUAUCUCAUGCACUGAGUUGUGACAGUGCAUUAUCCAGGUACUAGUCAAAGAGAUGCCCCUUUUUCUCGUUAUCUUAUUGUUUGGAAGCAUGAAUUGCUGAAUAAAUUGCUUGAUGCUCAUUGUUCAUUGUUUUUCAAAUGUAUUCUUGGAUUUUUUAUAUUCUCUUUUCGUCUUGUACAAUUUUUUUUAUAUAUUUAGUAUGUUACUCUUCCUAGCUUUGAAACACACACUACACACAAACAUGCAUGCACACAAUGGCAAAGCAAAUUAAAUGCCAAAAUUCCCAUAUUAUCUAUCAAAACAGAACAUGAAUAAGUAGUUCAGGGACUUCAAACCCAAACCACCUUCAUUGUGGUUUCUUGAUCAUCAGGUAUGCAAUAGUUGCUCUCUUUUGACCAAGACCAAACCAGCUAUAAUUUGGUGUUUUUGCUCCAUCUCCUGUUUAAACACUCUUGAGGAUGCUGAGCCCGCUGCAUUUUGAGAAAGAUAUAUUUCCUAUGUACAAUUGGUAAUAUAGUUAGUUGGACUUUUAUCUUGCUCAGGUGUUGAGAGAGAACUCACCACCUUGUAAUUGGAAGUGUGUUAAAGAGUUUAUAGGUAAUGUUUCCGUUGUAAGUUUUUGGUGUUUGAUCUAAUUAUAAAUUAUUUGCCUUCGGAUAAAAACCCAAGAGACCAGAAAAAAAAGUAGUUUUGGUGAAUCAAUUGGCUUGCAGUUGGUGAAUGUGGGGUAUGAAGUUUGUGUAGAUGGCCCCACGCAAGUGUUGCGGUUUUUAAUAAAUGUUGGAGGUCCAUGGAGUGUCUAAAUUCAUACUGUCCGUGCAAACUUUGAAAAAUUGUAGGUAAGCAUGGGCUCUUGUGCCAAUUAAUUGACUCUAGGGGCACUUGAGUGAGAAAAUAAGUGGCCCUUUCCUCGUAAGUGUUGCUGACUGGUUAAUGCCAACAUCCAUGCUUUUGUCAAAAAUAAAAGAAGUCUAAGCUUAUUUAAAUGGUGGGUCAAACUAUCAUAUGUCUAGUUAAUGUGAUGCGUAUGGUGUAAUAGAAAGAUUUAUGGCCUUAGUAGUGGUGGGUAGACUUCUUGAGAAUUUAGAGUUCUCAUUCUAAGAUGUUUGUUUUUUUCAUCACAAAAUUAACUUGCAUGAAUUGGCAGGGGAAUGCCUUUUUUGUAUUCAGUAACGAUAUAAUUUUCUUCUAGCAAAAAUAGUUGCAUCUGAUGUUUUUGAGAUUCUUACACAAUGUAAACCUGAUGGUUGGUUUGAUGUCAAGUAAUAAUGUGGUAUGGCAGGGAACAUGUUUGCAUGUUCUGAAUAAUAA